CCAUGAAAAAUGUCUAGAAACAAAAUCAUUCGUGAGUAGAAAAAUAAAUGAAACUGCAUAAACUUAUACUACUAUAAGUCAUCAAUACAAGCGAAGAGGUUUAAUUUUUGUAAGUGAUUUUCAAAUAAGAGGUUUUAGUAUAUUGUCUUAUAUAUCGUUAGUCGUAGUUUAAUUGUGAUAAUGGUGAACUCUACCAGCUAUAUCAUAUUUUCUAUCCCGUAACCGAAUGGUGUGUGUUGUGUAUACGUGCAUUUCCAUGAUAACGGGGGUAAUCAGGGGCGGACGCAGCAUCAUAAUUAGAUGGGGGCACAUGACAUUUUUUCAGUAUGUCUAGUUCUAGAGUUGCAGGGUAUUUCUUAAGCUAGUACUAAUUAUUGAAGAAAAAAUAAAAAUUAGAUGGGGGCACGUGCCUCCGUACGUUACUACCUGCGUCCACCACUGGGUAAUCAAGGGAGGUUAGUUAUCAAAUGAUGUAUUUUAGGUUUAGUAAGUAGUAUCUUAAAAAGAAAACUAAGAAAGGGAAAACAAAAAUUUGUAUCGAUCAUGGGGCGAAGAAGUUAUAUUGAUCUGCUGGUUAGGCUAGUAAUUAAUUUGUGUUUAGCUACAUUUGGUCUUCAACGUGUGUGUGUUUUUAGCUAUGUCUCUCAAUUUUUAAGAGAAACGUAAUAAAUACAGAGCUAUAUUUGGUGUGAAGAAUGAUUGGGCCACGAAGAUAGUAGAUAAAAUUGUGUGGCUCGCAGGACUCGACGAUAAGAAUCUCGUCGACAUCACUUCUUCGGGUAAGGUUUGAUUGGUGCUCCUCAGUAGAAUAAUAAAGGGCACAACAAAAAGGUGGGAAAUAAAUGAACCAAGUAUGUUUAUUAGGGUUUUGGGGUAGUAAUUAUUUUGGGGCGUUUCAACAAGAUUGCGCUUUUGAGUUUUUUAAGUUCCAUAUCCGUUUCAGAUAAAUAAAUUAAAAAAUUAUAUAUAUAUAUAGUUUUUUUGUUAGACUUGAAGUGUUUCAGGCCAAAAUCGGUUCACCAGCGAUAAACCGAGUAAGAGUUAGAAAUCUACACUGUGUAGAGUUAACAAUUUUAUAGUUAGCGCAUCUUUAUCUCUAUUCCAUUUUUUCCUCUAAAACGGAGUAAAAGUGAAUAUGUAGUAAGGAAUGCUCUAACCCAACUUCAUAUUUCACUCUAUAAUAAAAUUUACUCCAUAAACGAAGUAAUUUAUUUUUUUGUUUGUUCAUCACUCUAUUAUGGAGUGGAAAAUAGAGUAGGCCUGGUGUAAUUUUACUUCAUUUUCACUUUUACUCUAUUUUGGAGAAAAAAAUGAAAUUUUACAUUGGAGAUGCUCUUAGGCAUCUAAUAGUAACCAAUCCUCCUGCACCGCACGGUACCACUGUAAAUAGUAAUAAAAAUAUUUACAUAUAUCUAUGUAUCUAUAUGUUUUUAUUAUUAUUUGAACCGCACUGCAGUUGUUCCGCCUAUUAUCAUUCGGACUUUUAAAGGAAAUUCACCUAGGUUCGAACUAAUAUGACGAUAUCUCAUAUAUAGUGAAAACUAGUAAACUACAAUGUGGUUAGAUAAAUAUUUUCGAUGUAAAGAUUUAUGUUUUGUUGACAAAAUAGAAAGAUGUAUUAUUCUAGUAUAGAAUUUCAAGAAUAAAUUUAACAAAAAAGGUAAUAAAAAUUAAAGUAAUAAAGUAGUAUUAUUAUAUUCCACUCAGGAAAUAAGGAAAUCAAUUAUUUGUCUAUAUAAAAUACAUAGACAAAGAUAAAAAAAAUAAGGUUAACAUGAUCAGUGCCGGCCUAUUAAUUGAAUGGCCUAAAGCACAUAAAAUUAAUCAUACAAUAAUAUAAUUAAUUUAGCUAGUUAAUUUUAAAUACAAAGUACAUAAUUAACACAGAGUAUGAAUCCAUUAUGGAUAGUUACAAUUUUGGUUAAAGCAUCUAAAAUGUUUACUCGGGUCUGCAUGUGGGUACUACAUACUAUUAUUGUAUUGAUAACGUUUGGUUGGAAGAGAAUGCAAUUUGUCGUUAGCAUUUAAUUUAAAUCUAGGGUACCAUUUCCAAUUUAUCAACCAGUUUACAUUAAGUCAUGCCUGAACAUGAUAAACUCGUGACCCUCAUAAAAAAAUAUAUUUAUACGUGAUACGCAUCUAAAGUUAUAAUUCUAUUUAUCACAACUUCUCUUUGUGUGUUUUUUUAAAUGGACAUUUCUAGAAAAUUUUAUUUCAUUUAUUUUUAACUAAUAUUUUGGCAUUAGUAAGAUAUCACAUCUUAUAUAAUCCACAAAUAUGACAACUUCACCUAUAAAAAUGUCUUAAUUUCUAUAAAAAAUUUGUUGACAAAAAUCUAGCUAACACAAUAUUACUAAAAUUUUUAAAUAAUUUUUUAAAAUAAUGCAUUAAUUUCAUAAUUAGUAGUACAAUAUGAUUCAAAUUAAUUUUAAUUAAGAUUUUAUUAUAAAAAAUAUUUGUACGCUAUUUCCGUAAACUUUUUAAUUAUAGUUUAUAUUAUAUUAAAACAGAAAUACUAUAUGAAUUAUAUUAAAUUGAUAAAUUAAACUUAUUUUAUUUAUUAACAAUAUUUCAUUUAAAAUAUCAUUCACCAUUAAAAUGGGUAAAAUUCUUAAAAUAUGUAUACAAAUUUCCUAAAAUAAUAAUUCUAAAUUAUUUAAACAUAACAAUAUAUUGCUUAUAAAAUCCUGCUAUAUAUUUUAAAAUGGUAGAUGCUAAAGUAUAUUUUUAAAAACAAAAAGAUAUAAAUGAUCCUGAACAAAUAUAUGUUUCAUAGUAUAACUAAAUAAAUUUUAUAAAUAUUUAUUUAUAUGCAAAUUAUAGAAAUUAAAAAUAUUAUUUUGAAAGGGAUUAUCUAUUUGAUUAUUUCAGAUUAUGAAUUUAUUUUACCAAAUUUGAAAUUAUAUUAGUGUGUAAUAAAAAUUAAUAACAAAAUAAAAUUCAUAAAAUAUUUUAUGUUAAUAAUGUCAAAUGAAAAACCUAUAUAAUAAUUAUUUUAUAUCAAAUUAGGUUAUACAUUUAUAAAAUGUAUAAAUCCGCAUGAACAUGCUGGUCAAACUCUAAUUUAUAUUUAAAAUUGGUAACAGUAUAUUGUGUUUAGAUUAAAAUUUCUAUUUAAUUAUUUUAAAUUAUAUUUUGUAAAUUACAGUUUUCAAAUUUUACUUCAGUUACCUAUAAAUCGGGAUCUCUAUAAACAAUGGCGGAGUUAGAAGUUUUGUUCAUUGGAAUCAAUAUUAAAAUAGGUACAAAACUAAAAUUUCAACAUUAAACAUGGGUCAAUUGCAUCUAAAUUAGCCAAAUUUUAUUUAUUUUAUACUUACAAACUUAACAUAUAAACUAAAAAUAUAUAAAAUUAUUGUUGUCAGUUGACCCCUCCCUCGUAAGUUCCUCUACCACUGUCUAUAAAUAAAAAGGUUAAAAAAUAGAUUUUUAAAAUUUAUACUAUUUAGUCAAUAUUUUUAAAAGAAAAUUUUAACGAAUGAUUUAUUUUUAUAUGUUUGAUAGUUAUUUUACAAGAAACUUGAUAAAAAUAAGUGAAAACUAACUUUUACCUUACUAUUGCAAUAUUGCAGCAUCCAAUAUAAUUCCAAUAAAAGUUUUUAGAUGUAAAAAUAAUUGGACAGGGCUUUUUGGAUUAAGGUCUCGGUUUCUGUGUCUCAAAUAUAUAAUUGGCCAAAUAGAUGCAUGUCGAUCCAGUUAAAACAUAUUUGUAUCGGUCCAGUAUUUGUUUAGGUUUUAGUCUUUGACAUGUAAUCCGGAUUUUGGUUCAAUUUCAGCUUGGACCCAAAACCGGCUCAUAAAACCGGUUUUGUUCGGCAUCAUAUCUAUUCUCUAGAAGCAAAGAUCAGCUGGUAAUACAUUUUUGAUUCGUUUGGUAUUUUACUAUUUUUGAACCAACUCCAUGUGAUUAUUUAAUAAGUCUUACGAAUAGAAACAGAUUUAAAACAUACGAUGGGAACUAAACACAACGCUAUUAGAUAUAGAAACAUAAAGCACUAAAAUCCCAAGAAAAAACUCCCAUAUUCCAUCAGUUCUCUUUGGCCAGUUUAUCUCCGAGGGGGAGAUCGUUAGCUUCCUCUUGAUCAGUCUUUGUUGCAUCUUCUUCGACCUUGUCACUAUUCAUCAGCUGAGCUAAUCUCUCGGCAACACUCAACCUAGC